UUUUUCGUAACAAAUCUAAUAUUAUCUCUUCUGUAUUUAGGUUCGACUAGUGAUAGUGGAUGGUAUUGCUUUUCCAUUUCGUCAUGACCUAGAUGACCUGUCUCUUCGUACUCGGUUAUUAAAUGGCCUAGCCCAGCAAAUGAUCAGCCUUGCAAAUAAUCACAGAUUAGCUGUAAUUUUAACCAAUCAGAUGACAACAAAGAUUGAUAGAAAUCAGGCCUUGCUUGUUCCUGCAUUAGCCUCAGGGAUUUAGAGAUACUGUUGUUACUUCUGCAUGUUCAUUGCAAACAGAAGGUUCCUUGAGCACCCGGAAACGGUCACGAGACCCAGAGGAAGAAUUAUAACCCAGAAACAAAUCUCAAAGUGUACAAAUUUAUUGAUGUUGUGAAAUCAAUGUGUACAAGUGGACUUGUUACCUUAAAGUAUAAAUAAACACACUAUGGCAUGAAUGAAUCCAGAUCAUA
rnacentral:lncRNA from 1 species